rnacentral:rRNA from 1 species
GAUGAACGCUGGCGGCGUGCUUAACACAUGCAAGUCGAACGGAAAGGCUCCUGCUUGCAGGGGUACUCGAGUGGCGAACGGGUGAGUAACACGUGGGUGAUCUGCCCUGCACUUCGGGAUAAGCCUGGGAAACUGGGUCUAAUACCGGAUAGGACGAUGGUUUGGAUGCCAUUGUGGAAAGUUUUUCGGUGUGGGAUGAGCUCGCGGCCUAUCAGCUUGUUGGUGGGGUAAUGGCCUACCAAGGCGUCGACGGGUAGCCGGCCUGAGAGGGUGUACGGCCACAGUGGGACUGAGAUACGGCCCAGACGCCUACGGGAGGCAGCAGUGGGGAAUAUUGCACAAUGGGCGCAGGCCUGAUGCAGCGACGCCGCGUGGGGGAUGACGGCCUUCGGGUUGUAAACUCCUUGCGCUAGGGACGAAGCGCAAGUGACGGUACCUGGAGAAGAAGCACCGGCUAACUACGU